rnacentral:rRNA from 1 species
GACGAACGCUGGCGGCGGGCUUAACACAUGCAAGUCGAACGGAAAGGCCCUGCUUUUGUGUGGUGCUCGAGUGGCGAACGGGUGAGUAACACGUGAGUAACCUUCCCUUUACUUUGGGAUAACUUCAGGAAACUGGGGCUAAUACCGGCUAGGAGCUCCUGCUGCAUGGUGGGGGUUGGAAAGUUUCGGCGGUGGGGGAUGGACUCGGGGGUUACUAGCUUGUUGGUGGGGUAGUUGCUUACCAAGGCUUUGACGGGUAGCCGGCAUGGGAGGGUAGCCGGCCACAUUGGGACUGAGAUACGGCGCAGACUGCUACGGGAGGCAGCAGUGGGGAAUAUUACACAAUGGGCGGAAGUCUGAUGCAGCAACGCCGCGUGCGGGAUGAAGGCCUUCGGGUUGUAAACCGCUUUCGCCUGUGACGAAGCGUGAGUGACGGUAAUGGGUAAAGAAGCACCGGCUAACUACGUG